GAUGAACGCUGGCGGCGUGCCUAAUACAUGCAAGUCGAGCGAACAGACGAGGAGCUUGCUCCUCUGACGUUAGCGGCGGACGGGUGAGUAACACGUGGAUAACCUACCUAUAAGACUGGGAUAACUUCGGGAAACCGGAGCUAAUACCGGAUAAUAUAUUGAACCGCAUGGUUCAAUAGUGAAAGACGGUUUUGCUGUCACUUAUAGAUGGAUCCGCGCCGCAUUAGCUAGUUGGUAAGGUAACGGCUUACCAAGGCGACGAUGCGUAGCCGACCUGAGAGGGUGAUCGGCCACACUGGAACUGAGACACGGCCGAGAGUCCGACGGGAGGCAGCAGUAGGGAAUGUUACGCAAUGGGGGAAAGCCUGACGGAGCAACGCCGCGUGAGUGAUGAAGGUCUUCGGAUCGUAAAACUCUGUUAUUAGGGAAGAACAAAUGUGUAAGUAAGUAUGCACGUCUUGACGGUACCUAAUCAGAAAGCCACGGCUAACUACGUG
rnacentral:rRNA from 1 species